rnacentral:rRNA from 1 species
GGGGAAUAUUGGACAAUGGGGGCAACCCUGAUCCAGCCAUGCCGCGUGAGUGAUGAAGGCCUUCGGGUUGUAAAGCUCUUUUGGCGGGGACGAUGAUGACGGUACCCGCAGAAUAAGCCCCGGCUAACUUCGUUCCAGCAGCCGCGGUAAUACGAAGGGGGCUAGCGUUGCUCGGAAUCACUGGGCGUAAAGGGCGCGUAGGCGGACUUUUAAGUCGGAGGUGAAAGCCCAGGGCUCAACCCUGGAAUUGCCUUCGAUACUGGGAGUCUUGAGUUCGGAAGAGGUUGGUGGAACUGCGAGUGUAGAGGUGAAAUUCGUAGAUAUUCGCAAGAACACCGGUGGCGAAGGCGGCCAACUGGUCCGAAACUGACGCUGAGGCGCGAAAGCGUGGGGAGCAAA